UAUAUUUAUCUGUAUUACACAUCCACUGAUAGGUGCCUAGGCUGGCUCUUUGUAUCUCGACCAUCAUGAGCAGUGCUGCAGCACUCACAGGAGAACACGGGUGCCUCUGGUCUACUCAGCGUGGGGAAUGCCAGGCGCUGGUAGCUCCGUGUCUUGUCUUCUGAGCUACAAAUAAUCUGCUUUCAGAAGGAAGGAGUUAUGUUCCCAAGGAGGGAGACGAGGACAGGGACUUCGGUCCUAACAGGCUGAGCAGACAUCAGAGCUUCCCAGGCUCAUCUAGCCGUGGCCAUCCCCACAGCUCUCUGGCUGACAAGCUUCAGCAGAGGAUCACUGAUAGAGUUACGAUUCGUUUUGUUGAUAGGGUAUGCUCUAUAGCCCAGAAUGGCCUUCAACUCACACUACUUCCUUGGUCUCCCAAAUGCUGUGACUAUAGGCCUGCGAUGUUGGUUUCUUUGGCAUAUUGCUAAUAUAACAUGCUAACUUCAGAGAACACUGGGCAAAAACUAGGAACUACAUAUCGUCUUUGAAAACUUUUUAACUUAAAUCUAUAAUUACCUAAUUGUUUUAUUUGUUUUCAAAGAAACAAAGUGUUAAGCAGAACGAAAGCGAGGACAAUCUUUACAAGGCAACCUGGAUUGGGUUCUCUGAAGAUCAGCUAAGGGAGAGCAGAGAAUGCUUACCCGACACUUUAAACACAGAUCUGACACUGUGUAGUGAAAAAGCCCACCAUGUACUGGAGAAUAUCAAUCCCAAAUCACCAAUCAUAUUGUUCAGUAAAAUUAUAGGAUUUAAAUACUCAUUCCUUUCAUGUCAAAAGACUGCAUGCCUAGUAAGGCAAAGAAAUAAGAUGACCACGAAACUGUUUUUGCAGCAAUACCUGGGCCAGAAAAGCUACAAAUUUAAAAUACUCAACAAAAGGUGAGCCAAAGACUUAAUUUCUGGCAAAAAUGAGCACCACAUAUAAAGAGCACAGAUGAUUUCCUUCACAGAAGCAGGAAAAUCCAUAGAGCAUUUUCCAUAAAGUCCUGAAGACUCUAUGGAAGAAAUGUAAAGAAACUAUAAUGUAGAAAGAAUCUUCAUGAAGACUGGUGGUGAAUACUAACCAUACAGUUGGUGCAGCCCAAGGUCAGGGUUGGGGGGCAGGAUAUGGUAACUGUGUGUUAAGAACAUCUAAGACAACUAUGGCUAUUAGGAAGAAUGUAAAUAUAAAUAAAAAUAACAAAAACUCUUGUAAAGUUGUUUUAAACUAUCAGAUUGGUAGCAUGAGUGUUAGUAUUCCUAGAUUAUUGUAUGUGGAAUCCAGAAUUAAAGGACAUAAGUAUUUAAGGACAGAUUAAUUCUAUCAAACCUUUAGUAUAAGAAAAGAGGACAGAGAUGUAUUACAGAAGAAAUAUAUAACCCAGUUCAAACUGAUCUUAAAUCUGACUUGGGAACAUUAGUUUAAGUUUGUGAGGCAUUUACCUUAUAUUUUAUCUUUGUUUCCCCAUCUGUCCACUAAAAAAAAUGAGUUUAGUAACAACUCAGUGCCUACAUGGCAGUCUUGUUACAAAGGCAAGUGUCUAAUGAGAAUGCUUCCCAGAACUGGCUAAUUUCAGUCCCAUAAAGUAGGAGAUAUAAAAAUCACACAGGCAAUCUUAACCUGCAAGCUAGCAAGAAGCAAGCAGAAAUAAUUACAAUCAUGUCAAGAGGACCCAGGAACAAGUUCCUACUGGCUAAACAGAAGGCCUGAAUUAGCAUAAGAUGAAAUUGCAAUAGACCAAAACCUAUAAAUUUAAAUCUGAGAGAAUGUAUUAACCAGCUAGUUAUCUUAUCUGAAUCAAUGACUGUGGAAAACAGAUAAGGGAUUAUCUUGCCCUUCCCACUAGAACUGUAUCUCCUAAGAAGAAUGAGCACAGGUCCCAGUAAGAGUCCUUGUCUCAAAUAAACAAGGGUGGAGGGCUCCUGAGGACACCCAAGGCUGACCUCUGACCUAAACACACACACACACACACACACACACACACACACACACACACACACACACACACAGUGUGUGCACCACCUCCCCACACCUCAACAAAUUAUUCUGAAAAGACAACUACUCUAACAUUUGAAAAGCCUAAUGAAUAUAUGUAUCUAGAUACUGAUCAGUCAACAGCUGCUAAGAGAGCAAAGCCCAGACAUUAUGACUUUCAUGAUGAAAGAACCUAACCACCUUCUACAGUGUUGACUAAGGAUGAAAACUCAGAUCACGCCAGCCAUCCUGUUGCCAUCUGCAGAAAAUGCGGAGGACAGAGGAACACUAUGAACUACCAGACACUGUCCAACUCCACGGGACCUAUGGUCAACACACAAGUGAAAGGGGAAAGACAGGAGAUGUAUCAAGCUUUAAAAGGGCAAGCUUCCCAUCUGGAUAAUAAAACUACAAGGAAACC
ensembl:antisense 4930565N06Rik RIKEN cDNA 4930565N06 gene